rnacentral:rRNA from 1 species
GUGGGGAAUAUUGGACAAUGGGGGGAACCCUGAUCCAGCCAUGCCGCGUGUGUGAAGAAGGCCUUUUGGUUGUAAAGCACUUUAAGCGAGGAGGAGGCUACCGAGAUUAAUACUCUUGGAUAGUGGACGUUACUCGCAGAAUAAGCACCGGCUAACUCUGUGCCAGCAGCCGCGGUAAUACAGAGGGUGCAAGCGUUAAUCGGAUUUACUGGGCGUAAAGCGCGCGUAGGUGGCCAAUUAAGUCAAAUGUGAAAUCCCCGAGCUUAACUUGUGAAUUGCAUUCGAUACUGGUUGGCUAGAGUAUGGGAGAGGAUGGUAGAAUUCCAGGUGUAGCGGUGAAAUGCGUAGAGAUCUGGAGGAAUACCGAUGGCGAAGGCAGCCAUCUGGCCUAAUACUGACACUGAGGUGCGAAAGCAUGGGGAGCAAACAGGAUUAGAUACCCCUGUAGUCC